UACAGAGGGUGCAAACGUUUUUCGGAAUUACUGGGCGUAAAGCGCGUGUAGGCGGCCGGGUAAGUCGGGUGUGAAAUCCCACGGCUCAACCGUGGAAGUGCACUCGAAACUACCUGGCUGGAGUCCCGGAGAGGAAGGCGGAAUGCUCGGUGUAGAGGUGAAAUUCGUAGAUAUCGAGCGGAACACCGGUGGCGAAGGCGGCCUUCUGGACGGUGACUGACGCUGAGACGCGAAAGCGUGGGGAGCAAACAGG
rnacentral:rRNA from 1 species